AAGUCGUAACAAGGUUUCCGUAGGUGCUGCGGAAGGAUCAUUAACACGUAUCCAAACGUGAAACCCCCCUGUGAACCUUCAGUCGUACUCGUACGUCCGUUAGAAAAAGCAGCAAUCCCUGGUAAAUCAUAUGCAAGGAGCGUGCAUGUUGUGUGUGUAAGUGGCCUGGCAUCCCCAAGCAGUUAGUGUCUGAAAGUGUCACUAACGUUAGUGUCUGAAAGUGUCACUAACAUGUGUAAGGAUGACGCAGUCACGAUCGUUGGAGGCCCACACGGCCGACGACCGGGUCACCGGGUGCAAGCCCCCUUAUCACACCCCUGCUCUAUCUAUGGUGAUCCUGCGGGAAGUCCUGCGGUCGAACGCCGAAACCGAACAACUGUUAACAAUGGAUAUCUUGGUUCUC
rnacentral:misc_RNA from 1 species